rnacentral:rRNA from 1 species
AUUGAACGCUGGCGGCAGGCCUAACACAUGCAAGUCGAGCGGUAACAUUUCUAGCUUGCUAGAAGAUGACGAGCGGCGGACGGUGAGUAAUGCUUGGGAACAUGCCUUGAGGUGGGGGACAACAGUUGGAAACGACUGCUAAUACCGCAUAAUGUCUACGGACCAAAGGGGGCUUCGGCUCUCGCCUUUAGAUUGGCCCAAGUGGGAUUAGCUAGUUGGUGAGGUAAUGGCUCACCAAGGCGACGAUCCCUAGCUGGUUUGAGAGGAUGAUCAGCCACACUGGGACUGAGACACGGCCCAGACUCCUACGGAGCAGCAGUGGGGAAUAUUGACAAUGGGCGCAAGCCUGAUCAGCAUGCCCGUGGUG